AACGGCCAUACCAUGCUGAAUAUACCGGUUCUCGUUAGAUCACCGAAGUCAAGCAUCAUUGGGUGCGGUCAGUACUUGGAUGGGUGAAAACUCGAUGGGAA